rnacentral:rRNA from 1 species
GAUGAACGCCGGCGGCGUGCCUAAUACAUGCAAGUCGAGCGAACGGACGAGAAGCUUGCUUCUCUGAUGUUAGCGGCGGACGGGUGAGUAACACGUGGAUAACCUACCUAUAAGACUGGGAUAACUUCGGGAAACCGGAGCUAAUACCGGAUAAUAUUUUGAACCGCAUGGUUCAAAAGUGAAAGACGGUCUUGCUGUCACUUAUAGAUGGAUCCGCGCUGCAUUAGCUAGUUGGUAAGGUAACGGCUUACCAAGGCAACGAUGCAUAGCCGACCUGAGAGGGUGAUCGGCCACACUGGAACUGAGACACGGUCCAGACUCCUACGGGAGGCAGCAGUAGGGAAUCUUCCGCAAUGGGCGAAAGCCUGACGGAGCAACGCCGCGUGAGUGAUGAAGGUCUUCGAAUCGUANAACUCUGUUAUUAGGGAAGAACAUAUGUGUAAGUAACUGUGCACAUCUUGACGGUACCUAAUCAGAAAGCCACGGCUAACUACGUGCCAGCAGCCGCGGUAAUACGUAGGUGGCAAGCGUUAUCCGGAAAUUAUGGGCGUAAAGCGCGCGUAGCGGUUUUUUAAGUCUGAUGUGAAAGCCCACGGCUCACCCGUGGAGGGUCAUUGGAAACUGGAAAACUUGAGUGCAGAAGAGGAAAGUGGAAUUCCAUGUGUAGCGGUGAAAUGCGCAGAGAUAUGGAGGAACACCAGUGGCGAAGGCGACUUUCUGGUCUGUAACUGACGCUGAUGUGCGAAAGCGUGGGGAUCAAACAGGAUUAGAUACCCUGGUAGUCCACGCCGUAAACGAUGAGUGCUAAGUGUUAGGGGGUUUCCGCCCCUUAGUGCUGCAGCUAACGCAUUAAGCACGCCGCCUGGGGAGUACGACCGCAAGGUUGAAACUCAAAGGAAUUGACGGGGACCCGCACAAGCGGUGGAGCAUGUGGUUUAAUUCGAAGCAACGCGAAGAACCUUACCAAAUCUUGACAUCCUUUGACAACUCUAGAGAUAGAGCCUUCCCCUUCGGGGGACAAAGUGACAGGUGGUGCAUGGUUGUCGUCAGCUCGUGUCGUGAGAUGUUGGGUUAAGUCCCGCAACGAGCGCAACCCUUAAGCUUAGUUGCCAUCAUUAAGUUGGGCACUCUAAGUUGACUGCCGGUGACAAACCGGAGGAAGGUGGGGAUGACGUCAAAUCAUCAUGCCCCUUAUGAUUUGGGCUACACACGUGCUACAAUGGACAAUACAAAGGGCAGCGAAACCGCGAGGUCAAGCAAAUCCCAUAAAGUUGUUCUCAGUUCGGAUUGUAGUCUGCAACUCGACUACAUGAAGCUGGAAUCGCUAGUAAUCGUAGAUCAGCAUGCUACGGUGAAUACGUUCCCGGGUCU